GUUUUAAGUACGUAUUAAUAAUGAUAAUAUGUAUAAAAGUCUUGACCAAUUACGUGCCAGCAGUCGCGGUAAUACGUAGGAGACGAGCAUUAUUCAUAUUAAAUAGGUUUAAAGGGUACCCAAACGGUCAAAAUACCUGAAAUAUAGGAGUACUUGACUAGAGUUAUAUGUAAGAAGACCGUACUUGAGGUGGAGAGAUUAUAUUUUAUGAUACCAAAAGGACUGAUAACGGCGAAGGCUGUCUUUUAUGUAAUAACUGACGUUGAAGGACGAAGGCAUAGAUAACUAACAGGAUUCGUUACCCUAGUAGUCUUUGCAGACAAUGAUGAAUGCCAUUAACUAGAUACUAAUUUUAGUUAUAUAAAUGAAAAUGAAAGCAUUUCACCUCAAGAGUAAUGUGGCAACG
rnacentral:rRNA from 1 species